AGAUUGAACGCUGGCGGCAUGCCUUACACAUGCAAGUCGAACGGCAGCACGGGAGCAAUCCUGGUGGCGAGUGGCGAACGGGUGAGUAAUACAUCGGAACGUGCCCAAUCGUGGGGGAUAACGCAGCGAAAGCUGUGCUAAUACCGCAUAAGAUCUACGGAUGAAAGCAGGGGAUCGCAAGACCUUGCGCGAAUGGAGCGGCCGAUGGCAGAUUAGGUAGUUGGUGAGGUAAAGGCUCACCAAGCCUUCGAUCUGUAGCUGGUCUGAGAGGACGACCAGCCACACUGGGACUGAGACACGGCCCAGACUCCUACGGGAGGCAGCAGUGGGGAAUUUUGGACAAUGGGCGAAAGCCUGAUCCAGCCAUGCCGCGUGCAGGAUGAAGGCCUUCGGUUGUAAACUGCUUUUGUAACGGAACGAAAGUCUACUUUCUAAUAAAGAGGAUCAUGACGUACGUAAGAAUAAGCACCGACUAACUACGUAACCG
rnacentral:rRNA from 1 species